GAGUUUGAUCCUGGCUCAGGACGAACGCUGGCGGCGUGCUUAACACAUGCAAGUCGAGCGAUGAAGCUUCCUUCGGGAAGUGGAUUAGCGGCGGACGGGUGAGUAACACGUGGGUAACCUGCCUCAAAGUGGGGGAUAGCCUUCCGAAAGGAAGAUUAAUACCGCAUAAUAUAAGAGAAUUGCAUGAUUUUCUUAUCAAAGAUUUAUUGCUUUGAGAUGGACCCGCGGCGCAUUAGCUAGUUGGUAAGGUAACGGCUUACCAAGGCAACGAUGCGUAGCCGACCUGAGAGGGUGAUCGGCCACAUUGGAACUGAGACACGGUCCAGACUCCUACGGGAGGCAGCAGUGGGGAAUAUUGCGCAAUGGGGGAAACCCUGACGCAGCAACGCCGCGUGGGUGAUGAAGGUCUUCGGAUUGUAAAGCCCUGUUUUCUAGGACGAUAAUGACGGUACUAGAGGAGGAAGCCACGGCUAACUACGUGCCAGCAGCCGCGGUAAUACGUAGGUGGCGAGCGUUGUCCGGAUUUACUGGGCGUAAAGGGUGCGUAGGCGGAUGUUUAAGUGGGAUGUGAAAUCCCCGGGCUUAACCUGGGGGCUGCAUUCCAAACUGGAUAUCUAGAGUGCAGGAGAGGAAAGCGGAAUUCCUAGUGUAGCGGUGAAAUGCGUAGAGAUUAGGAAGAACACCAGUGGCGAAGGCGGCUUUCUGGACUGUAACUGACGCUGAGGCACGAAAGCGUGGGUAGCAAACAGGAUUAGAUACCCUGGUAGUCCACGCCGUAAACGAUGGAUACUAGGUGUAGGGGGUAUCAACUCCCCCUGUGCCGCAGUUAACACAAUAAGUAUCCCGCCUGGGGAGUACGGUCGCAAGAUUAAAACUCAAAGGAAUUGACGGGGGCCCGCACAAGCAGCGGAGCAUGUGGUUUAAUUCGAAGCAACGCGAAGAACCUUACCUGGACUUGACAUCCCUUGCAUAGCCUAGAGAUAGGUGAAGCCCUUCGGGGCAAGGAGACAGGUGGUGCAUGGUUGUCGUCAGCUCGUGUCGUGAGAUGUUAGGUUAAGUCCUGCAACGAGCGCAACCCUUGUUAUUAGUUGCUACCAUUAAGUUGAGCACUCUAAUGAGACUGCCUGGGUAACCAGGAGGAAGGUGGGGAUGACGUCAAAUCAUCAUGCCCCUUAUGUCCAGGGCUACACACGUGCUACAAUGGUAGGUACAAUAAGACGCAAGACCGUGAGGUGGAGCAAAACUUAUAAAACCUAUCUCAGUUCGGAUUGUAGGCUGCAACUCGCCUACAUGAAGCUGGAGUUGCUAGUAAUCGCGAAUCAGAAUGUCGCGGUGAAUACGUUCCCGGGCCUUGUACACACCGCCCGUCACACCAUGAGAGCUGGUAACACCCGAAGUCCGUGAGGUAACCGUAAGGAGCCAGCGGCCGAAGGUGGGAUUAGUGAUUGGGGUGAAGUCGUAACAAGGUAGCCGUAGGAGAACCUGCGGCUGGAUCACC
rnacentral:rRNA from 1 species